rnacentral:rRNA from 1 species
UACAUGGGGUGCAAACGUUGCUCGGAAUUAUUGGGCGUAAAGCGCGCGUAGGCGGUUACUCAAGUCGGAUGUGAAAGCCCUCGGCUUAACUGAGGAAGUGCACCCGAAACUGAGUAGCUAGAGUACUAAAGAGGGUUGCGGAAUUCCCGGUGUAGAGGUGAAAUUCGUAGAUAUCGGGAGGAACACCGGUGGCGAAGGCGGCGACCUGGGUAGAUACUGACGCUGAGGCGCGAAAGCGUGGGGAGCAAACAGG